AACUUUCAACAACGGAUCUCUUGGUUCUCGCAUCGAUGAAGAACGCAGCGAAAUGCGAUACGUAAUAUGAAUUGCAGAUAUUCGUGAAUCAUCGAAUCUUUGAACGCCCAUUGCCCCCUUUGGUAUUCCAAAGGGCAUGCCUGUUUGAGCGUCAUU
rnacentral:rRNA from 1 species